GGAUAGUGUAGAGUUAGGGUUCACUUCAAUCUCCCUAAUGAAUAUUGAUGCAAAAAUUAUAAAUAAAAUAUUAGCAAGGAGAUUAUAGCAUUAUAUCACAAGGAUCAUACACCACAACCAGUAUACAGCCAGUCCUGGAAAGGGUAGCCAGGGAGGUUGUGUCAUCAGAGAGAAAUCAGGUCUUCAUGAUAGCCAGAAGAUGGAAAGAGUAAGAAGCGAAAAGAUUUACAAUGAAAUCAAGUUUAUUUUCUACGAUUUAGGCAGUCCAGAGGACUCAAUGAAAAGGGUAGAGAGAGGCAAAUGAAGGCAUUCUUGAUCUCCUGAAAGAUAACCUCCUCUUGCCAUAUAACUUGGAAGCUUUUAGCUUUUGUAUGAACUAUGGAUCCCUUGUAUUAUAAAUCUCUGCUGGAAUGGAAUCAUCACCAUGUAUUUUGCCACAUAAGAGGAGCCUAAUGGAAUUCAAAAUCACUUCAAUAUUUGAAGUUCAGCCACAGAGGGAUUGACCUCAACAUGAGAUAUACAAUCAAUGAUUUCAAUAUUGGUUGAUGACAUCCUAUAGAGAACACGAUGGGAGUAUUCAGCCUAAUAUCCUUAUCACUGAUCAGUGUGACUCCAUUUAACAUUGAGUAGGUGAAAUAUGCCAUAGGUUAGGGUUAAGGUUAGAGUUAGGGUUAGGGUUUAGGGUUAAUUGCUUUCAGAACAUCAUAGAAACAUUCUAGAUUGUUAAUCAGACUGAAUUUCAUCUGCCUUCUUACUGAGCCAAGGAUCCUACAUCUUUCUAAGCUUUGUUCUUAGAGACAGAUGAACUAUCCUGCUGGCAAACCCUAUGAGUUCUUGUUUUUCAUUUAGUAGCUUCUGAAUUUUCCCUUUAUUUUUAUUAAACCAAUUGUAAUGUCUGAGAAUAUACUUGCCUAGAUGAGUAAAUGUGGGGCUGUAUAACAAAUUUCUGAAAAUUGCCCUUUCCUUUUCUGCUCCAAUGUUGUCAUACUUGUGUUGACUCAGUUUUCCUUCCAAGUCACAAAUUGUUUGAGAAUGGAGACACUCUCUCAUUUGUUCACAUUGUCUUCUGGUAGUUGUAUUGCUUUGAGACCACCACUUUCAUUGAAUGUAAAUGUU
rnacentral:lncRNA from 1 species